AAGUCGUAACAAGGUCUCCGUAGGUGAACCUGCGGAGGGAUCAUUAACACGUAUCCAACGUAUCAACCAACGCGAACUCGGGACUAUUCAUUUAGACCCAACAACAUGACCUGAAGAGAUUAAGUGCUGUGAUAUUGAAAAUUUGUAGUGGGUAUUGCUCUAAUUAGGGAGAGACGAGUAGGUGUAGAAUUUGUUUUGUGAAAUAAUCAUUCUCAGGAUACAUCGAAACCUUCUUAAUUAGUUCAAUAGAUAUUUUCUCGAACAUCUGGAGGGUCAAACCUCAAGGCACUUUUUUCAUCA
rnacentral:misc_RNA from 1 species